GGGCGAUUAGCUCAGAGGGAGAGCACUGCCUUCACACGGCAGGGGUCACUGGUUCGAUCCCAGUAUCGCCCACCA
rnacentral:tRNA from 1 species